rnacentral:rRNA from 1 species
CCUACGGGCGGCAGCAGUGGGGAAUAUUGCGCAAUGGGCGAAAGCCUGACGCAGCGACGCCGCGUGAGGGAUGAAGGUCUUCGGAUCGUAAACCUCUGUCAGCAGGGAAGAACGGUCACUGUGCUAAUCAGCAGUGAAUUGACGGUACCUGCAAAGGAAGCACCGGCUAACUCCGUGCCAGCAGCCGCGGUAAUACGGAGGGUGCGAGCGUUAAUCGGAAUUACUGGGCGUAAAGCGCUCGUAGGCGGUAUGUCAAGUCAAGGGUGAAAUCCCCGCGCUCAACGUGGGAACUGCCUUUGAAACUGGCAAACUGGAGUGUGUGAGAGGAUAGUGGAAUUCCAGGUGUAGGAGUGAAAGCCGUAGAUAUCUGGAGGAACAUCAGUGGCGAAGGCGACUAUCUGGCACAUAACUGACGCUGAAGCACGAAAGCGUGGGUAUCGAACAGGAUUAGAUACCCGGGUAGUC